UCCUGUAGUACUCGGUAGACCAUAUCAAUAGCCUAGGGGUACUGAUCUCCAACCUGUCCUGUAGUACUCGGUAGACCGUAUCAAUAGCCUAGGGUACUGGACUCUUACCUGUCCUGUAGUACUCGGUAGACCAUAUCAAUAGCCUGGGGUAUUGGACUCUUACCUGUCUUGUAGUACUCGGUAGACCGCAUCAAUAGCCUAGGGUACAGAUCUCCUACCUGUCCUGUAGUACUCGGUAGACCGUAUCAAUAGCCUAGGGUAUUGGAUUCUUACCUGUCUUGUAGUACUCAGUAGACCAUUUCAAUAGCCUAGGGUACUGAUCGCCUACCUGUCCUGUAUACUCGGUAGACCAUAUCAAUAGCCUAGGGUUCUGCUGACUUACCUGUCAUGUAGUACUCAGUAGACCAUAUCAAAAGCCUAGGGUACUGGACUCUUACCUGUUAUGUAGUACUCAGUAGACGGUAUCACUAGCCUAGGGUAUUAGACUCUUACCUGUCUUGUAGUACUCAGUAGACUGUAUCAAUCGCCUAGGGUACUGGACUCUUACCUGUCCUGUAGUACUCGGUAGACCUUAUCAAUAGCCUAGGGUAUUGGACUCUUACCUGUCUUGUAGUACUCGGUAGACUAUAUCAAUAGCCUUGGGAACUGAUCUCUUACCUGUCCUGUUGUACUCGGUAGACCGUAUCAAUAGCCUAGGGUAUUGGACUCUGACCUGUAAUGUAGUACUAAGUAGACCGUAUCAAUAGCCUAGGGUUCUGGUCACUUACCUGUCCUGUAGUACUCGGUAGACCGUAUCAAUAGCCUAGGGUAUUGGACUCUUACCUGUCUUGUAGUACUCGGUAGACCAUAUCAAUAGCCUAGGGUACUGAUCUCCUACCUGUCCUGUUGUACUCGGUAGACCAUAUCAACAAUAG